AUACACGCUGGCGGCGUGCAUGAGACAUGCACGUCGCACGAAGGAUCGGGCUUGCUCGAUCCUUAGUGGCGGACGGCUGAGUAACGCGUAGGUGACCUACCCCGAAGUGGGGAAUAACUGCCCGAAAGGGUGGCUAAUACCGCAUGUGGUCGCACGUUCAUUCGUGCGAGUAAAGCCGCAAGGCGCUUCGGGAGGGGCCUGCGUCCGAUUAGCUCGUUGGUGGGGUAAUGGCUUACCAAGGCGACGAUCGGUAGGUGGUCUGAGAGGACGAUCACCCAGACUGGGACUGAGACACGGCCCAGACUCCUACGGGAGGCAGCAGUCGGGAAUUUUGCUCAAUGGGGGAAACCCUGAAGCAGCAACGCCGCGUGAGGGAUGAAGGCCUUCGGGUUGUAAACCUCUUUUGUCAGGGACGAUGAUGACGGUACCUGGCGAAUAAGCCACGGCUAACUACGUG
rnacentral:rRNA from 1 species